rnacentral:rRNA from 1 species
CCCUUAGAUGUCCUGGGCCGCACGCGCGCUACACUGAUGCAUGCAACGAGUCGUUUCAAGCCUGGGCCGAGAGGCCCGGGUAAUCUGUUGAACGUGCAUCGUGAUAGGGAUAGAUCAUUGCAAUUAUUGAUCUUGAACGAGGAAUUCCUAGUAAACGCGAGUCAUCAGCUCGUAUUGAUUACGUCCCUGCCCUUUGUACACACCGCCCGUCGCUACUACCGAUUGAACGGUUUAGUGAGGGCCUCGGAUUGGUCUCGGCCCGCUCUUUACCGGGCGGCGCCGUUGGUCGAGAAGACGCUCGAACUUGAUCGUUUAGAGGAAGUAAAAGUCGUAACA